AUACCUUUCUUGGCCUUUAGGCUAAGAUCAAGUGUAGUAUCUGUUCUUAUCAGUUUAGUAUCUGAUAUUAAAUUUAUUUUUUGAGUGGGAGAGUCAUCACAGUAGCUUGCGCACCACACCUAAUUCCAGUUCUAAAAGUUACACUUAUCCAUGCAAGGGAUAAAUUUA
rfam:Gossypium raimondii chromosome 5, whole genome shotgun sequence.